GAACCAGUACCGUGAGGGAAAGGCGAAAAGAACCCCGGCGAGGGGAGUGAAACAGAACCUGAAACUGUAUACGUACAAGCAGUGGGAGCACUUUAGGGUGUGACUGCGUACCUUUUGUAUAAUGGGUCAGCGACUUAUAUUUUGUAGCGAGGUUAACCGAUUAGGGGAGCCGUAGCGAAAGCGAGUCUUAACUGGGCGCGUAGUUGCAAGGUAUAGACCCGAAACCCGGUGAUCUAGCCAUGGGCAGGUUGAAGGUUGAGUAACAUCAACUGGAGGACCGAACCCACUAACUUUGAA
rnacentral:rRNA from 1 species